UACGUAGGGGGCAAGCGUUGUCCGGAUUUAUUGGGCGUAAAGCGCACGCAGGCGGUCUGGUAAGUUUUGAGUGACAGGUGGCGGCUUAACUGCCACAGGCCUUGAAAAACUGCUGGACUUGAGGGCAAGAGAGGGACGCGGAAUUCCAGGUGGAGCGGUGAAAUGCGUAGAUAUCUGGAGGAACACCGGUGGCGAAGGCGACGAUCCUGGACCGGUAUUGACGCUGAGGCGCGAAAGCCAGGGGAGCAAACGGG
rnacentral:rRNA from 1 species